rnacentral:rRNA from 1 species
CUACGGGUCGCUGCAGUGGGGAAUAUUGCACAAUGGAGGAAACUCUGAUGCAGCAACGCCGCGUGGAGGAUGACACUUUUCGGAGCGUAAACUCCUUUUAUAUAGGAAGAUAAUGACGGUACUAUAUGAAUAAGCGCCGGCUAACUCCGUGCCAGCAGCCGCGGUAAUACGGAGGGUGCAAGCGUUACUCGGAAUCACUGGGCGUAAAGAGCGUGUAGGCGGGUUAAUAAGUCAGAAGUGAAAUCCUAUGGCUCAACCAUAGAACUGCUUUUGAAGCUGUUAACCUAGAGUGUGGGAGAGGUAGAUGGAAUUUCUGGUGUAGGGGUAAAAUCCGUAGAGAUCAGAAGGAAUACCGAUUGCGAAGGCGAUCUACUGGAACAUAACUGACGCUGAGACGCGAAAGCGUGGGGAGCAAACAGGAUUAGAUACCCGCGUAGUC